rnacentral:rRNA from 1 species
UACAGAGGUCUCAAGCGUUGUUCGGAUUCAUUGGGCGUAAAGGGUGCGUAGGCGGCGCGGUAAGUCGGGUGUGAAAUUUCGAGGCUUAACUUCGAAACUGCAUUCGAUACUGCCGUGCUUGAGGACUGGAGAGGAGACUGGAAUUUACGGUGUAGCGGUGAAAUGCGUAGAUAUCGUAAGGAAGACCAGUGGCGAAGGCGGGUCUCUGGACAGUUCCUGACGCUGAGGCACGAAGGCCCAGGGGGAGCAAAACGGGG